UGGCUCAGUUGGGAGAGCAUGGGACUCUUGAUCUCAGGAUCGUGAGUUUGAGUCCCAC
rnacentral:tRNA from 1 species